CCUACGGGAGGCAGCAGUGGGGAAUAUUGCACAAUGGGGGAAACCCUGAUGCAGCAACGCCGCGUGAGCGAUGAAGGCCUUCGGGUCGUAAAGCUCUGUCCUAAGGGAAGAAUACUGACGGUACCUUAGGAGGAAGCCCCGGCUAACUACGUGCCAGCAGCCGCGGUAAUACGUAGGUGGCAAGCGUUGUCCGGAAUUAUUGGGCGUAAAGCGCGCGCAGGCGGUUCCUUAAGUCUGAUGUGAAAGCCCACGGCUCAACCGUGGAGGGUCAUUGGAAACUGGGGAACUUGAGUGCAGGAGAGGAGAGUGGAAUUCCCAGUGUAGCGGUGAAAUGCGUAGAUAUUAGGAAGAACACCAGUGGCGAAGGCGGCUUUCUGGACUGUAACUGACGCUGAGGCACGAAAGCGUGGGGAGCGAACAGGAUUAGAUACCCCUGUAGUC
rnacentral:rRNA from 1 species